CCCGUGUGGAGGUAUGCAAGCCGGCGUAUGCUGAGGAGAUUUUGGAAGAACCCACUGUUUUUGAUGAGGUAGCCCAACACCAGUACAACGCAUUAGUCAGGAAAGGCAACUCAGUGAUCCCUUCAGCUCCAAUGAUGAACUUUGUGCGUGCCCAGAUCAAGAAAGCAGCUGAUGAGACCGAGACUAUUCUUGAAACAACCCCGGCUGGCAAAAGCGAUGGAGAAGGUGCACUUCGAGCAUUCAUCAAGCGCCAGGGCCAAAAGUUAAGGCGGCUAUCAAACCUUUUUGGUUGUCGUGACCCCGAGUAUGUAU